GUUGAACGCUGGCGGCAUGCCUAACACAUGCAAGUCGAACGGCGCGUCGAACGGGUGAGUGAUGCCUAGGAAUCUGCCUGGUAGUAGGGGAUAACGUCGGGGAAGGGGACCUAAUGCCGCAUGCUAGCAAAUGAGCCUAGGUCGGAUUAGCUAGUUGGUGGGGUAAUGGCCUACCAAGGCGACGAUCCGUAACUGGUCUGAGAGGAUGAUCAGUCACACUGGAACUGAGACACGGUCCAGACUCCUACGGGAGGCAGCAGUGGGGAAUAUUGGACAAUGGGCGAAAGCCUGAUCCAGCCAUGCCGCGUGUGUGAAGAAGGUCUUCGGAUUGUAAAGCACUUUAAGUUGGGAGGCGGUAUCAACCGAAUAAGCACCGGCUAACUACGUGCCAGCAGCCGCGGUAAUAC
rnacentral:rRNA from 1 species